UCUGACAAUCGGCCGAGAAGAGCAGUUAAUUCCGAAACCUGAUCUAUAACAUAUUUGAAGCUCACGGAAAUCUGUUCUUUUUAUUUUUUGGAAAACAAUAGGUAGCCUAUGACCUUCCUAAGGAUGCAAUCUAUCUCCUUGCCAAGUUUUAUCGAAAUCUGUUCAGCGGUUUAGGCGUGAAAAGGUAACAAACAGACAGACAGACAGACAGACAGAUAGACCGAGUUACUUUCGCAUUUAUAAUAUUAGUAUGGAUAUUAGAGCAAAGCAAAACUGUUGAGAGUGUGGUACAUUUCUAUAUAUUACGUUCUCAUAGAUUCGAAAAGUGCUGUCCUCAUUAAGAGAGCGGUUGUAUGGUACGUUAUUUUGUGUAUGGUGUCGUCGCAGUGGAAGCGUGCGUAGCGAAACAUAGCGAGACGCAGUUUAUAUUAUUAAGCACUGUAUUCUUAUCAAUAAUAAAUAUCGUAUUCUUAUCAAAAACAAUAUUGAAAACAUACAUAUUGAAGACCGUAGAACAGAUGUGAAGUAUUGCAAGAAUCACAAGAGUUUCACCAGCAGGAAGCAGAAGGAGAGUCGGAGGAGGACAAUAAAUCAAAGAAGAGAGAAAUAGCAAAAUACUAGUAAGUAUAAAAGUAGGAAAGUGUCAGCAGGAAUACAAAACCAACAUAAAAGGACUCGUUAAAAGGAACAAGUUAACCAAUUAAGAAGGUUUAAUUACAACUGUGAGGAAAGAAAAGAAAAGAAGAAGAAAAUGAAAAGGAAAAGGGACGAAAAGAACCAAGGAACACCACACUGUCAUGUCGUCAUGAGAGGGACAAUACGAUGCGAGCUAUGGCAAAAUGUUAAGAGAUCUUUUUUGUAGGAAAUUAAGUUUUCUACUAUUUAUGUUGUAUGAUAUUUUUUGAUCAGAUGCGUAGUUUUCGAGAUAUAUCGAGAUAUUUAAAAGAUCCGAAGCCGCACCAACAUAAUAAACAUACAGAAACACCGUGGCCCCUUCCUUUGAGAUAACUCUGCACUAUUCCGAACUGCAAAUGCCACUUCCAGCUUAGCUGUGCAGAAGAAGAACAACAAGAAGAAGAAAUAUCUCGAAAUAUGUCCGUCAGGCCUGUACAUUGAUACAUUGAUCUGUGGGUAGCAAUCAGUAUAUUACAUUAUAUCUAAUGUAGAUAUGAUAACAAUGACAUUGGUAUUACAUGUAGGUACAUUGAUCUGUGGGAAUGUAUCACUAUGACAUUAUAUCUAAUGUAGAUAUAGUGCUAAUGAUAUUGUUAUUAAAUGUACAUUGAUC